rnacentral:sRNA from 1 species
GUUUGUGAGCGACCUACUCCUGCUACCAAGGUCGUUCAUAGGAUCGGCACCACUCCUCGUGAGGCUGCUGGGUUCUUUUGGAAAAGCCUGCCGUACCUUCUCCCGCGGCAGGCUUCUUCG